AGACCGACCCACUGGGUUCAGCCCAGACCGUAGACUGUGUUGACCCACUGGGUUCAGCCCAGACCCUAGACUGACCCACUGGGUUCAGCCCAGACCGUAGACUGACCCACUGGGUUCACCCAGACCGUAGACUGACCCACUGGGUUCAGCCCAGACCGUAGACUGACCCACUGGGUUCAGCCCAGACCGUAGACUGACCCACUGGGUCGGCCCAGACCGUAGACUGACCCACUGGGUUCAGCCCAGACCGUAGACUGUGUUGACUCACUGGGUUCAGCCCAGACCCUAGACUGACCCACUGGGUUCAGCCCAGACCGUAGACUGUGUUGACCCACUGGGGUCCCACACGACCCAUUGGAGGUGGGUCAUGAACCAAUCCCAGCACCUAACCCUCGGAGAUCUUGGAGCGGGAGAGGAUCAGCCUUCCCAGUGUGCUCACAGUUUUCCUGGGUAACACUGGAAUAGUAUUUUUGGGUCCCGAGAGAACAUUUAAGAUCCCCUGGUAUCACGGCUCCCCUAAAGAGGAAGGUCCACUGGGAACACAGAGGAACGUCGUCGUAGCGACGGAGACGGUAGAGUGAUGGGAACCUGAGGACCUGUGGGGCCUAUAAACAGCUCCGGGCUGGACCGUCCCAUCCGGGUCCUCUGCCGACCUCCUGAUGUGAAGAGAACCCAGAAGAGCAGAGAACCCUAACCCUAACCCAGAAGAGCAGAGAACCCUAACCCUAACCCAGAAGAGCAGAGAACUCUAACCCUAACCCAGAAGAGCAGAGAACCCUAACCCAGAAGAGCAGAGAACCCUAACCCUAACCCAGAAGAGCAGAGAACCCUAACCCAGAAGAGCAGAGAACCCUAACCCUAACCCAGAAGAGCAGAG
ensembl:lncRNA